GUGCUUGCUUUGGCAACACAUAUACUAAAAUCUGAACAAUACAGAGAAGAUUAGCAGGUUCCUUUGCAAGGAUGACACACAAAUUCAUGAAGCAUUUAAAAAAAUU
rnacentral:snRNA from 1 species